rnacentral:rRNA from 1 species
CAUCAGCAUGCCGCGUGAGUGAAGAAGGCCUCGGGUUGUCAGCUCUUUUGUCAGGGAAGAAAAGGUUCUGGCUAAUAUCCAGAGCUGCUGCCUCCCCCUGAAGUAUAAGCACCGGCUAACUACGUGCCAGCAGCCGCGGUAAUACGUAGGGUGCAAGCGUUAAUCGGAAUUACUGGGCGUAAAGCGUGCGCAGGCGGUUUUAUAAGUCUGAUGUGAAAUCCCCGGGCUCAACCUGGGAACUGCAUUGGAGACUGUAAGGCUAGAGUGUGUCAGAGGGGGGUAGAAUUCCACGUGUAGCAGUGAAAUGCGUAGAUAUGUGGAGGAAUACCGAUGGCGAAGGCAGCCCCCUGGGAUAACACUGACGCUCAUGCACGAAAGCGUGGGGAGCAAACAGGAUUAGAUACCCUGGUAGUCCACGCCCUAAACGAUGUCAACUAGUUGUCGGGUCUUAAUUGACUUGGUAACGCAGCUAACGCGUGAAGUUGACCGCCUGGGGAGUACGGUCGCAAGAUUAAAACUCAAAGGAAUUGACGGGGACCCGCACAAGCGGUGGAUGAUGUGGAUUAAUUCGAUGCAACGCGAAAAAUCUUACCUACCCUUGACAUGGCAGGAAUC